UACGUAGGUGACCAGCGUUGUCCGGAUUUACUGGGCGUAAAGAGCGCGCAGGCGGUCGUUCAAGUCGAGUGUGAAAGCCCCCGGCUCAACUGGGGAGGGUCACUCGAUACUGAUCGACUUGAAGGCAGGAGAGGGAAGCGGAAUUCCCGGUGUAGUGGUGAAAUGCGUAGAUAUCGGGAGGAACACCAGUGGCGAAGGCGACUACCUGGCCUGUUCUUGACGCUGAGGCGCGAAAGCUAGGGGAGCAAACGG
rnacentral:rRNA from 1 species